AUGCACUCAGAGUAACAUCGCAAACAUAUUAUUCACCUGAGUACACAACACCAACACAGAAAAAAAUUCAUAUUACUAGAACACAUUGGUAUUGAAGGAACUAGAUACUGUUCCGAAAUGUCACUUACUCGAACCGUCCUGACCGCGUAGCUCAGUUGGAAGAGCAUUGGGCUAGUAUUCCAAAGGUCGUAGGUUCGAAUCCCACCGUGGCCGGGCA